CUUACUAAAGGCUCUCCGUAGGGCUCUAACCUUGCAGCAGGCUUCUGUCUGGGCAUCCAGGCUUUCUGAUUCAUCCUCUGAAAUCUAGGUGAAAGCUGCCAAGCCCCCACCACUCUUGCAUUCUGGGCUCCUGCAGAUCUAACAUCAUUUUGAGAGGUGAAGCCAGCUGGACUUCCUGGGUCAAGUGGGGACUUGGAGAACUUUUCUGUCUUACAAGAAGACUGUAAAAUGCACCAAUCAGAGCUCUGUGAAACACACUAAUCAGCAGGAUCCUAAAAGUAGCCAAUCACAGGGAUGAUUGAAAAAGGGGCACUCUGAUAGGACAGAAAUGAAAUAUGGGAGGGGCCAAUAAGGGAAUAAAAGCUGGCAACCCCCAGCCAGCAGCUGGGGACCCACUUAUGUCCCCUUCGAUGCUGUGGAAGCUUUUUUCUUUUGUUCUUCACAAUAAACCUUGCUAUCACUCACUCUUUGGGUCCGUGCUAUCUUUACGAGCUGUAACAGUCACUGCGAAGGUCCGUGGCUCCAUUCUUCAAGUCAGUGAGACCACGAACCCACAGGAAGGAACCAACUCUGGACACACCUUGGUGGAUUGUCCAGGAGUUUGCCAUGCAGAUUGAGGCCAUCAAGCUACAGAUGGUCGUACAAAUGGAACCCCAAAUGAGCGCAACUCACAACUUCUACUGAGGACCUCUGGACCGACUCACUGGCCCUUUGACUGGCCUAGAGAGUUCCCCUCUGGAGGAUGCUACAACUGCAGGGCCCCUUCUUUGCCCCUAUCCAGCAGGAAGUAGUUAGAACAGUCAUUGCCCAGUUCCCAACAGCAUUUGGGGUGUCCUGUAUAAUGGGGGGAUUGACAGGCGAAGCCAGCUGGACUUCCUGGGUUCAGUGGGGACUUGGAGAACUUUUCUGUCUUACAAGAGGAUUGUAAAAUGCACCAAUCACUGCUCUGUAAAAACGCACCAAUCAGCACUCUGUAGCUAGCAAGAGGAUUGUAAAAUGCACCAAUCAUUGCUCGUAAAAAGCACCAAUCAGUGCUCUAUAAACCGCACCAAUCAGCACUCUGUAAAAUGCACCAAUCAUCAGGAUCCUAAAAGUAGCCAUUCGCAGGGAGGAUUGAAAAAAGGGCACUCUGAUAGGACAGAAAUGGAACAUGGGAGGGCCAAUAAGGGAAUAAAAACUGGCAACCCCUAGAUAGCAGUGGCAACCUGCUUGGGUCCCCUUCCAUGCUGUGGAAGCUUUGUUCUUUUGCUCUUCACAAUAAACCUUGCUACCACUCACUCUUUGGGUCCAUGUCAUCUUUAAGAGCUAUAACACUCACAGUGAAGACCCACA
rnacentral:lncRNA from 1 species